rnacentral:rRNA from 1 species
GGCGGACGGGUGAGUAACACGUGGGCAACCUGCCUCAUAGAGGGGAAUAGCCUUCCGAAAGGGAGAUUAAUACCGCAUAAGAUUGUAGUACCGCAUGGUACAGCAAUUAAAGGAGCAAUCCGCUAUGAGAUGGGCCCGCGGCGCAUUAGCUAGUUGGUGAGGUAACGGCUCACCAAGGCGACGAUGCGUAGCCGACCUGAGAGGGUGAUCGGCCACAUUGGGACUGAGACACGGCCCAGACUCCUACGGGAGGCAGCAGUGGGGAAUAUUGCACAAUGGGGGAAACCCUGAUGCAGCAACGCCGCGUGAGUGAUGACGGCCUUCGGGUUGUAAAGCUCUGUCUUAAGGGACGAUAAUGACGGUACCUGAGGAGGAAGCCACGGCUAACUACGUGCCAGCAGCCGCGGUAAU